rnacentral:rRNA from 1 species
GAUGAACGCUGGCGGCGUGCCUAAUACAUGCAAGUCGAGCGAACGGACGAGAAGCUUGCUUCUCUGAUGUUAGCGGCGGACGGGUGAGUAACGCGUGGAUAACCUACCUAUAAGACUGGGAUAACUUCGGGAAACCGGAGCUAAUACCGGAUAAUAUUUUGAACCGCAUGGUUCAAAAGUGAAAGACGGUCUUGCUGUCACUUAUAGAUGGAUCCGCGCUGCAUUAGCUAGUUGGUAAGGUAACGGCUUACCAAGGCAACGAUGCAUAGCCGACCUGAGAGGGUGAUCGGCCACACUGGAACUGAGACACGGUCCAGACUCCUACGGGAGGCAGCAGUAGGGAAUCUUCCGCAAUGGGCGAAAGCCUGACGGAGCAACGCCGCGUGAGUGAUGAAGGUCUUCGGAUCGUAAAACUCUGUUAUUAGGGAAGAACAAAUGUGUAAGUAACUAUGCACAUCUUGACGGUACCUAAUCAGAAAGCCACGGCUAACUACGUG